GCCAGGUGUGGUGGCCUGCACCUGUAGUCCCAGCUACUUGGGAGGCUGAGAUGGGAGGAUGGCUUGAGCCCAGGAGGUGGAAGUUGCAGUGAGCCAAGGUCAUGCCACUGCACUUCCAGCCUGGGCAACAAAGCCAGACUGUCUCAA
ensembl:misc_RNA Metazoa_SRP Metazoan signal recognition particle RNA